GAGAACAUAUCAAAAUGUAGUCUUACAAAAGCAUGGAUAUGAGCUCAAGAAUCCCACAUGGAUUGAGCCAAAGAGUCAUAGACAACUGGUGAGGAUGAACUUGUGCGGUCUAUAUGUCAUGAGACACAUGCUCAAUAUUAUCACAUUAGGCAUGACCGAAUUUACAAAAGAGAUGUUUGACAAUUCAGAUGUAUUUCCUGAAGCUGAAAUUGAAGAGAUCCGCAUACGUUGGGCAACCUAUUUUGUGGAGAACUUGUGAGAUUUUUUGUUACUUUUAGACAUUUUAAUUUUGAUAGUUG